rnacentral:other from 1 species
GAAAUCCUGAAGCAUACGACACGGCUUAUUUAAAUUCAACCGACAAAUGUUGUAAGGGAGACUGGAGUCUAGUAAUAGAUAAUAAGCCUGUUUUUUAAAUAGGAAAUUAAAAAUUGCUAGCAGGUCACCCACCUGGGAGUAUCUCGGGUAUGAAUUUAUUGGGCCACCGGUGUUUUGGGAUUCAA